AUUGAACGCUGGCGGCAGGCCUAACACAUGCAAGUCGAGCGGAGCGGCGGACGGGUGAGUAAUGCCUAGGAAUCUGCCUGGUCGUGGGGGAUAACGUCCGGAACCGGGCGCUAAUACCGCAUCCUCUCAGCUGAGCCUAGGCCGGUUUAGCUAGUUGGGGGGGUAAAGGCCUACCAAGGCGACGAUCCGUAACCGGUCUGAGUGGAUGAUCAGUCACACUGGAACUGAGACACGGUCCAGACUCCUACGGGAGGCAGCAGUGGGGAAUAUGGGACAAUGGGCGAAAGCCUGAUGCAGCCAUGCCGCGUGUAUGAAGAAGGCCUUCGGGUUGUAAAGUACUUUCAGCGGGGAGGCGUUACCCGCAGAAGAAGCACCGGCUAACUCCGUGCCAGCAGCCGCGGUAAUUC
rnacentral:rRNA from 1 species